rnacentral:rRNA from 1 species
GAAUCCGCUAAGGAGUGUGUAACAACUCACCUGCCGAAUGAAUUAGCCCUGAAAAUGGAUGGCGCUGAAGCGGGCUGCCGACACCGUGCCGUCUGGGCGAGAAAGGCCCCAGAUGAGUAGGAGGGCGUGGCGGCCGUAUCGAAGCACGCGUGCAAACGCGUGUGGAACGGCCGCUAGUGCAGAUCUUGGUGGUAGUAGCAAGUAUUCAAGCGAGAUCCUUGAAGGGCGAAGCGGGGAAGGGUUCCACGCGAACAUUGAUUGGGCGUGGGUGAGUCGUUCCUAAGCCGAGUGGCGAUUGCUAAGUAGCGGCGAAAGGGAAGCGGGUUGAAAUUCCCGCACACGGAUGUGGACGCGGUGACGCGACUGAUGGGGCGAAGACGCUGGCGACGGCGCUGGGCAGAGUUGUCUUUUCUGUUUGACCAGUUUGCGCGCGCGGUGUGGAAUCCGCUUGUCGGGAGAAACACGCGUGUGCGGGCAGAGCGCCGGGGCUUUUCCGGCGUCCAGCUCGCCGUCGACGGCCCUUGAAAAUUUGCCUGCUGAAAAUCUUUGAUUUGAAAUCCACGCCGUGGCGUACCGAUCACCGCAUCAGGUCCCCAAGGUGAACAGCCUCUGCUCAGUAUGAAUAAUGCAGGUAAGGGAAGUCGGCA